GGGAUCACGAUGUCGGUUGGCUCUGUCAUUUAAUAAUUCUAUCGAGUAGCACAUGAUGUGGUACUUACGCCACCGUAAGUAAACGGUUGUUAGCCAUCGUAAGUAAGUAAGUAAACGGUGCUCGAAAAUCCGAAAAACAAAGAAGGAACGCACAAAGUGUGUAAAGCGAAUUUCCGACAGCGAAUCAUGGACUGAACAGGAAAUUGAAUUUACACAGAUUUUUACGUUUGCAUACUCUACCGAAUAACAACCUUGAGACAGAAACUACACGUGCUCGUACAUCCAAUUAUCAGAGAGUUCCGCUACUAAUUGCGAUACUCGCUCUUCUAUCAAAUAACUAACCUACGUACCGUAACUUCUAUUUAUGAAAGUUCGAAAGAAAAAACAAACAUGAUAUAACCAGAGAUAAGCGCGUUAAGACGAUCAAAUCUUUCUGACAUUAAUGUAUGCAAAGGCGUGUCACGUACUGGUCGCGUGAGUAGCAGGCUGCCUCUAUUAUAUUCGCUUUUUCACGGUCGCGCCACGUUCGAGAACUUGACGCAGAAAAUAAUGCAAUGAUAUGACCCAGUCAGCCAGUGCGCCAGCGUUGUGAAGACAAUUCUGUCGUUCUAUCAAGGAAAUAUGAAUGGUUCCCAAAAAUAAUCCACCCAUCCGUCAAAUACAAUAUUUAGCAGAUUAUUUAUUCGGUGAACGUUCUUGGUCAAUUUUGCAAAACAGAUAACACAGAGGUCGAAAGGUCGCAUAUUCAUCAUGUAUGAGGAAGAUAAUAUACGAUACGAUACGUGUCCAUUGUGAUCUAUAAGGUAACAGAAGAUGAAGACAAGAAAAGCUGAAGGAUCUGGCGUCUCUUUCGGCACUUCCACGUGAACAUAACACCAGAGAAGACACACCUGCAUUCCCCACAUUAUAUAUCUCUGGAUUCUUCUUUCUUUGAUUCCAUAUGAAAGCGAACGGUGGGUACGUUUGACCGUGGCAGUCUAAACGGCUUCCAAUACUAAUUCCAGUAAUUCCUCUUCACGGGCCAUCCUCGUUUCCCAUCUAAUCGGUCAGAUCUCUGGGAACGGUCGAAAAGGUCUUGGAAAAAAAGGAAAAGAAGCAACAGGUAUGCCUGGAGACGGUAAGAGCGAGUACAAAAGCGACGACAGAUAAUCCGAUGCGACUGUGUACGAGUCAAAGAUCUCGUAUUGGAUCGGAAUAGGCACGUACAUAUAUACCUAACUUGGAAGGCAUCUAAUGCGGUUAAGGAAUUUCAGUCUGCUGUCGGGAGCCACCGAUGGAUUGGGCUGCGGAUAAUCUCGACAAAAACAAGAUUACACGUUUACGUAAUGAACCAACUUGAACAAUUGAUAUUACACCGUCAUUCUUGGCAAUUAUCUAUCUGGAGAUCAAUUGGAAGACCAAGGUGACUAAAAGGACUGGAAACGUGUCGAAGGAAACUGCGGCAAAAUCGGAUUCCUGGCAUGGUCGACCUGAUUCUGCGACUGAGUCCAACGUGUCCGAAGCCAGGGAAUGCAAAGUCUCGCGGUUAACCUGGAUAUAUCUGCGCAUCCAAGCCAAACUAGGAUCCUGGACUUACCCAGAUCUAAGUCAAAGAAACGAUCAACAUGAGAAACCGGUUGAAACUAAUCCAGAACAGUACGCUUGCGUGUCUUAAAAAAGUGAUGAUUCCUGAUUACAUGAUGCUGAUGCAACAAUUCUAUCAUAUUUCCAGUCGAUUCUCUGCGCAACUGACUUAAAUCCUGAGCACGAAAAUUAUAAGACUCCUUGACAACGUACUAUGCUCUUGUGGGACGUGUAUCUCCUCUUAAAAGUUCUGAAAAGUUCACGUAAUUCGAUAUAUUAAUACAUUUUCAAAUAAAAUAUUCCUUGCUAAUUUCAAA